CGAUAUCGACGAGUUUGAUCAGUGGCUCAGAACGAACGCUGGCGGCAGGCCUAACACAUGCAAGUCGAGCGCCCCGCAAGGGGAGCGGCGCACGGGUGAGUAACGCGUGGGAAUAUGCCCUGGGGCUGGGGAUAACGGCGGGAAACUGCCGCUAAUACCCGGUACGCCAUGAGUGGGAAAGGAGCAAUCCGCCCUGGGAGUAGCCCGCGUUGGAUUAGCUAGUUGGUGUGGUAAGAGCGCACCAAGGCGACGAUCCAUAGCUGGUCUGAGAGGAUGAUCAGCCACACUGGGACUGAGACACGGCCCAGACUCCUACGGGAGGCAGCAGUGGGGAAUAUUGGACAAUGGGGGCAACCCUGAUCCAGCCAUGCCGCGUGAGUGAAGAAGGCCCUAGGGUUGUAAAGCUCUUUCGCACGCGACGAUGAUGACGGUAGCGUGAGAAGAAGCCCCGGCUAACUUCGUG
rnacentral:rRNA from 1 species